rnacentral:rRNA from 1 species
GACGAACGCUGGCGGCGUGCUUAACACAUGCAAGUCGAACGGAAAGGCCCUGCUUUUGUGGGGUGCUCGAGUGGCGAACGGGUGAGUAACACGUGAGUAACCUGCCCUUGACUUUGGGAUAACUUCAGGAAACUGGGGCUAAUACCGGAUAGGAGCUCCUGCUGCAUGGUGGGGGUUGGAAAGUUUCGGCGGUUGGGGAUGGACUCGCGGCUUAUCAGCUUGUUGGUGGGGUAGUUGCUUACCAAGGCUUUGACGGGUAGCCGGCCUGAGAGGGUGACCGGCCACAUUGGGACUGAGAUACGGCCCAGACUCCUACGGGAGGCAGCAGUGGGGAAUAUUGCCCAAUGGGCGGAAGCCUGAUGCAGCAACGCCGCGUGCGGGAUGACGGCCUUCGGGUUGUAAACCGCUUUCGCCUGUGACGAAGCGUGAGUGACGGUAAUGGGUAAAGAAGCACCGGCUAACUACGUG